rnacentral:ncRNA from 1 species
GUUAAACCGUCGAAGGAGAAGAGUACUGUGCUUGAAAUCCUGCAGAGAGGAGCCGGUUGGUGCAAGGCUUUGGACGAAGAGCAUGGGAAUGGACUCACGAGGUCGGGAAGAAAGGGAGAGAUCCUUAUUAAUGCCCGACGGACUGCACUUCCGUUAUCAGGUGCACCGUAUUUAGUGUGAAUCACAGUACGGAUUGAGUGGCACGUAUGUGCAAUUCGGGUGGUACCGCAGAAUAUUCUGUCCCGGGC